GUCUCGGUAGCACAAUGGACAGGGCCUUGGACUUCUAAUCUAAAGGUCGUGGGUUCGAAUCCCACCUGGGGUG